GGGCCGCUAGCUCAUCGGGUAGAGCACCGCCCUUUUAAGGCGGGGGUGGCAGGUUCGAGUCCUGCGCGGCCUA
rnacentral:tRNA from 2 species